rnacentral:lncRNA from 1 species
UAAAAAGGUGUAUGUUGCAUGGGAAGAUAAUGAGAUAAGUUCUUCAUCCGGAUCAGAAAGCGACGAAUAUGCAAAUUUAGCAUCAGUGGCUUCACACUAUUUCGACGAUGAAGAAGAUGAAGUUAGUAGAGAUUUUUCUCUUUACGAUAGUGAUGCACAAGGUACUAUAAAUGAACUUCUUAAAGAAUGCAAAAUUCUG